rnacentral:rRNA from 1 species
AGCUCCAAUAGCGUAUAUUUAAGUUGUUGCAGUUAAAAAGCUCGUAGUUGGAUUUCGGGUGGGUUUUAGCGGUCCGCCUAUGGUGAGUACUGCUAUGGCCUUCCUUACUGUCGGGGACCUGCUUCUGGGCUUCAUUGUCCGGGACAGGGAUUCGGCAUGGUUACUUUGAGUAAAUUAGAGUGUUCAAAGCAGGCUUACGCCGUGAAUACUUUAGCAUGGAAUAACAUAAUAGGACUCUGCCCUAUUUUGUUGGCCUGUAGGAGUGGAGUAAUGAUUAAGAGGAACAGUCGGGGGCAUUCGUAUUUCAUUGUCAGAGGUGAAAUUCUUGGAUUUAUGAAAGACGAACUACUGCGAAAGCAUUUGCCAAGGAUGUUUUCAUUA